rnacentral:rRNA from 1 species
UACGUAGGUGGCAAGCGUUGUCCGGAAUUACUGGGUGUAAAGCGCGCGUAGGCGGUAGUCCAAGUCUGCUGUGAAAUCGCCCGGCUCAACUGGGCGCGGUCGGUGGAAACUGGUCAACUGGAGGACGGUAGAGGCGAGUGGAAUUCCCGGUGUAGUGGUGAAGUGCGUAGAGAUCGGGAGGAACACCAGUGGCGAAGGCGGCUCGCUGGGCCGGACCUGACGCUGAGGCGCGAAGGCGUGGGGAGCGAACGGG